rnacentral:rRNA from 1 species
AUUGAACGCUGGCGGCAUGCCUUACACAUGCAAGUCGAACGGCAGCGCGGGGCAACCUGGCGGCGAGUGGCGAACGGGUGAGUAAUAUAUCGGAACGUGCCCUGGAGUGGGGAUAACGUAGCGAAAGUUACGCUAAUACCGCAUACGAUCUGAGGAUGAAAGCAGGGGACCUUCGGGCCUUGUGCUCCUGGAGCGGCCGAUAUCUGAUUAGCUAGUUGGUGGGGUAAAAGCCUACCAAGGCGACGAUCAGUAGCUGGUCUGAGAGGACGACCAGCCACACUGGAACUGAGACACGGUCCAGACUCCUACGGGAGGCAGCAGUGGGGAAUUUUUGGACAAUGGGGGGCAACCCUGAUCCAGCAAUGCCGCGUGUGUGAAGAAGGCCUCGGUUGUAAG